UUCUAUUCUCUGCCUUUUGGCCAAGAUCAAGUAUAGUAUGUGUUCUUACCAGUUUAAUAUCUGAUAUAUCCUCUAUCUGAGGACAAAAAUAUUAAAUGGAUUUUUGGAAUAGGGAGAUGGAAUAGGAGCUUGCUCCAUCUACUCCACGCAUUGAUCUGGUCUUGCAGUACCUCCAGGAACGGAGCACCCCCU
ensembl:snRNA U2 U2 spliceosomal RNA